rnacentral:rRNA from 1 species
ACUCAAAGGAAUUGACGGGGGCCCGCACAAGCAGCGGAGCGUGUGGUUUAAUUCGAGGCUACACGAAGAACCUUACCUGGGUUUGACAUGUACGUAGUAGGGAACUGAAAAGGGACCGACCUUCGGGAGCGUACACAGGUGCUGCAUGGCUGUCGUCAGCUCGUGCCGUGAGGUGUUCGGUUAAGUCCGCAAACGAGCGCAACCCUCGGCGUUAGUUACACGUGUCUAACGCGACUGCCCGUGAGAAACGGGAGGAAGGUGGGGAUGACGUCAAGUCAGCAUGGCCUUUAUAUCCAGGGCUACACACACGCUACAAUGGGUGGUACAGUGGGUCGCGAAGGCGUGAGCCGGAGCCAAUCCAGAAAGCCACUCGUAGUUCGGAUUGCAGGCUGCAACUCGCCUGCAUGAAGUCGGAGUUGCUAGUAACCGCGCAUCAGCUAUGGCGCGGUGAAUACGUUCCCGGGCCUUGUACACACCGCCCGU